CUCUGCUCACAAGCUCCCACUACCCACCACCUCAACCAAACUCCACACCCUCUCAUAACCGCCCCCUCCUCAACUGCACAUCAUCUCCAUUUUCUUCUCCCAAAAUCAAAAUUGCAAACAGAAUCCAAUCCAAAUAAAACCCUAAAAUGAGCCCAGCUUCAAAUCACUAAUAUCUAAAAGCAAAAUCCAACACCGGAAACCAGAAAUUCACACCAAAAAAAAAAAAAAACAAUAAUUUCUGCAUUUGUGAUUGUGAUUAAUAUUUGAUUCCGGUUGCUGAAGGAAGUCAGGAAGCAGAUCCAAGCCAAGAAGGAGGGGCUCCGUCAACUCGUCGGCCCUUGUUAUCGAGACCUCAUCGACUCCGUCGACUCCAUUAACUCCAUCGUCCUCAUGAAGCUCUCCUCCCACUCCAUCUCCCACAACCUCUCCUCCGUCCACCACGCCAUCAUCCACACUCUCUCUCUUUCUUCCCCUUCCCAUUCCAAUUCCGAUUCUGAAUCCAAGUCCUCCGACUCCUCCAUCUGCAUACCAAAUCACCUGCCGGGUCAAGUUUGUAAUAGGUGAGUACCACUCCUCCACAAGGCGUCGAGUUCGUUAAGGGCGUCAAUGGUCUCAACAAGGUCGUCCUCCAUGAUCCGCGCGGCAGUCUCGCCGAGUUCCUCCACUAAACAUCGUCGUAUUCUCUGCCCUCUGAGGUUUCUCAUUUUCUGUGAUCUAUCGAGAUCUGAUGCUUUCUUUGCUUCUGUUUUUGGUGAGAUUUUUGGAUUGCCUUUUCUUCCGAUUGUCUGGUUUUGGUUAAUUGUUUGUGUUAGAUCUGUUUAGCUUGUAAGCAGAGAUUCAUGGUGGCUGGGAAUGAGAGAGAGAGAGUAGAGAGAGAGAGAGGAGGUUUCAGAUUUGAGUGCGAGGCAGAAAGGAGAGAAAAUAAGAGAAAAAAAUAGAAAUUAGAUUAAUUUUGAAAUGUCUAUUUUGUCCUUCUUGUGGGUUCAAAAUCAGAAAUGUGGGACCUCCUUGUCGGCUCCAACUCAGGCAUGACGUCAUCUUCGGAGUCAAAUUCAAAUUUUGGACGAGGUUGAUGCAAUUUGGGAGAUCAGGGAUGAGUUUGAUUAAAAAAAAAAAAAAGAGAGGGACCAAACUGAUGUUUGGCCUAAAGUUUGAGAGACUAAACUGAAUGUAGUCCUUAAUUUAUUGAUCUUAAUUUCAGAAUGCAUGGGAUCGUGAUUUAUCUCUUGGAUUGAUUUCGGGAAGGGAUUUGAUUUACGAUUUGUUUUGACUUUGAGCUUGCGUUAAAUUUUUUUCAGAAAUAUGAGUGAUCGAGUUAUGAAUUUCUUUGAUCUCACUUUUAUUCAUUAUCUAUUUGGGAAAUUGUGUGAUAUUUGAAAAUCGCAUUUGUUACUAUAAUUGUGAGCAUGAUUUUACUUAUUAAAAAUUUCUGAGUAUGGUUCCUUAUUUGUGAUUAGUGUCUGUUGUGAGAUUUUCUUUGGGGAAGCUUCUUAUUGAUUUUUGAGUUUUCAUAUGAUUUUCCUAUGCCAUACUUGUGGUGAUCAUAUUACCAUGCUAGCAUGUCGUUCCACCUUUCGAGGAAAUGUGACUACUACCUUCAGGGUGGAGUUACAAAAAGCGCUUUCCACCUUUGUGGUGAUGUGGUGCUGGCUUAGUGGCAGUAUCACGAAAGCCCGAUACCCUAAUCGCCUCUGUGGUGUAAAGGUACAAGAGUAUGGGAGUGCUUUGGCCUGAGAGGCCCUCACCUGAGCCUAAGGCUCACUUGUAUGGCUAAUAUCUUAUUCCCCAUACUUUACUUUAUACAUAACUAGCGGGGGUGGUUCGAUUUUACUCGAUCAGCGGGGCUGCUCAUAUUUUUACAAGUUAUCGGAAUUUCUCAGUUUUUCUACUUUGUUGUUUGUGACUACCGGGGCUAGUUCGGUUUUUUGAACUAAAUGUCAUUCGAAAUAUUUUUCCUAAAGCUUGCAUGCAUUGAUUUUGAAAGUGUAUUCUGGGAAAGUGAUGAGUUCUCGGAUUCCUGUUUAUUUCGAUUAUUUAUUUUUGUCCGCUCACGCUAACAUUUUUCAAUUACUUUUCCCCUGGGUCCUUCGAUUUCAAAUGCCCAGUUUGCAGAUUAAGCUAGUUGAGGUCGGAUGUAUAUGGAGUUGAGGCAUAGUUGUCACUGCUUCCGCAUUGUAGGAUUUAUCGGUCCUUUACCUUUUUAUUUUAUUUUCUUGUUUACCUUAUUAGAUUGCUCUGAUAACAUGUGGGCUAAAUGUUCUUAAGUUGAGACUUGUGUUGUGUUGUAGAGUUUGUUGUGAUUCGGGGAGUAGGGUGGCUCCAGGAGUGGAGGAUGGUGUUAUAUAUUAGAAGUGUAAUUGUUUUUCUACAGGUUUUGAGUUGUUCAUCUUUAGGGGUGACUCUGCCGAAUUUUUAGUAGAGUUAUUCCUAAGGUGGGCCCCGAAGGGCCACCUAGGAUUUCAGGGUGAAAUCUGGGGCGAGGUCUUGUCAGAAGAUGCCGACAGUGUUCCAGGCUCAUCAGCUACUUUUGGUGACAAAGAACUCCGUAAUGUCACAACAUGAUAGAGAAUUAAGUGGUUCUGAUAGUGAUCUAGGCUCAUUAGCUACCUUUGUUGAUGAAGAACUCUAUAAUGUUACCAACAUAAUAGAGAAGUAACCGGUUGCUGACGCAACAAGAUAGAAGAAAAAUAUCAAGUUCCCUCCGAUUCAGAUCUUGAAUAUGAGGAUAAUGAUUAAGAAGCUGCCGACAGUGGUCCAGGCUCAUAGCUACCUUUGUUGACGAAGAACUCCGUAAUGUCACAACAUGAUAGAGAAGUAAGUGGUUGCCGACAGUGGUCCAGACUCAUCAGCUACCUUUGCUAACGAAGAACUCUAUAAUCACCUACAUAAUAAAGUAGUAACUGGUUGCCGAUGCAACAAGACAGAAAAAAAAUAUCAAGUUCCCUCUUAUUCAGAUAUUGAAAUUUGAGAGAAAUGAUUAUGAAGCUGCUGACAGUGGUUCAGGCUCAUCAGCUACCUUUGGUUACGAAGAACUCCGUAAUUUCACAAUAUGAUAGAGAAGUAAGUGGUUGGCGACAGUGGUCCAGGCUCAUCAGCUACCUUAGCUGACGAAGAACUCUAUAAUGUCACCAACGUAAUAGAGGAGUAACUGGUUGCCGACGCAACAAGACAGAAGAAAAAUAUCAAGUUCCUUCCGAUUCAGAUCUUGAAUAUGAGGACAGUGAUUAUAAAGUUGCCGACAGUGGUGCAAGCUCAUCGGCUGCUUUUGUUGAAGAAGAAAUCCGUAAUGUCAUAGCAUGAUAGAGAAGUAAGUGGUUGCCGACAGUGGUUUAGGCUCAUCAGCUACCUUUGCUGACGAAGAACUCUAUAAUGUCACCAACAUAAUAGAGAAGUAACUGAUUGCCGACGUAACAAGACAGAAGAAAAAUAUCAAGUUCCCUCUGAUACAUAUCUUGAAUAUGAUGACAAUGAUUAUGAAGCUGUCGACAGUGGACCAGGCUCAUCACCUACCUUUGUUAACGAAGAACUAUGUAAUGUCACAACAUGAUAGAGAAGUAAGUGAUUGACUACAAUUGUCCAGGCUCAUCAGCUAUCUUUACUGACGAAGAACUCUAUAAUGUCACCAACAUAAUAGAGAAGUAAGUGGUUGUUGACGCAACAAGACAGAAGACUUGACUUUUUCAAAAGUAAAGUUAUUCCAUUUCAAAAAAAAAAAAAAAAAGAUUCUUCAUGUAUUCCACUUUCUUUUAGGAUAUUUUGAAUUCUAUUUUGAGGUCCGCUCCCUAUAUAAGGAGUUGUAAUCUUCCCUAGGAACCCUAGGAAGACAUCAGAAACUUGAAUUAGAAGCUCUCUCCCUCUCUCUCAAGAAGUAAGAUAACCAGAAAGUGUGCUUUUAGUAUAUCCAAAAAAGUAGCAGUGUGCCUUCUUUUCUGUAAAGAUCGUGUGGAGCGGUGUGCUUUUGUUUCAACAGUCUUAUAGGUGACAAGAUGGUUGCUCGGGACUUCCAAGUUGAUUUGAAUAAAGCCCUCGUAUUCCAGGUUGGCCAUCUUGGAGAGGCAUAUCACGAGUGGGUUCACCAGCCUAUUGUCUGCACUGAAGGCCCUCGAUUUUUUGAAAAUGAAUUUUUGGAGUUCUUGACCCGCACUGUGUGGUGGGCAGUUCCUACCAUAUGGCUUCCAGUUGUGUGUUACUCUAUCUCCAAGACCGUACAGAUGGGCCAUACGUUUCCUGAAAUAGUUCUGAUGGUUCUUUUUGGCAUUUUGGUGUCGACAUUGCUUGAAUAUACAAUUCACCGUUUCCUUUUCCAUAUUGAAACCAAAAGCUACUGGGGGAACACCAUACAUUAUGUUCUCCAUGGCUGCCAUCACAAACACCCAAUGGAUGGUUUGCGACUUGUUCUUCCUCCGACUGCAACAGCUAUUUUAUGUCUUCUAGUAUGGUAUAUGUUUAGGCUUUUAUCACCUCCAUCAGUUGCUCCGGCUUUGUUUGGAGGAACCUUAUUGGGAUAUGUAGCAUAUGAUGUCACUCAUUACUACCUUCACCAUGGGAAGCCAUCUAAAAGAUUGACUCAAGAUCUGAAGAAAUAUCACAUGAACCAUCACUUCAGAAUUCAAAGUAAGGGAUUCGGGAUCACUUCCUCCUUAUGGGACAAUGUUUUCGGAACAGUGCCUUCAACAAAAGCUGCUGAGAAAAUGAGUAACCAGUAGCACCGGCUGGGUUAACAUGGAUCUUUUCUUGCUACUGUACUAGUAACUAUAGGAACAAUAACUGCACAUUUGGAGCUAUGGAACAUGACUUAGACGUACAAUAAUGAGUCCAUUAAUACAUGAAGGACUUCUGGCUGCUUUGGAUAAGUACAACUGUUGAGGGGGAUUGGUUGCUUUGGCUCCAUAUGACCCCCAGAAACUGGCUCUGUAAUAUUAUUGUUCUUGUAUCCUGUAUGCUUGUUACUACAAUAAUAAAUCGGACAUCUUUGUUCAUGCUCUAUGCCUUUUUAUUGUUCUUCUGCUUCCAUUCUCAUUUGGAUUGAUUUCAGAGUAGUGUAUAGUAGAGGCAUAUGAUUUACUCAUCUAAACUUGAAUUUUGGGCAGCGAGCUGCUUAUUCCUUUUUGGGAGACAAAAUAAUCAGCUGGGUACUCACUAGUCUCUAUCCACCUCCACAUUCUCCUCCGCAAGGGAGAAAAGGUGGAGGAGGCAGACAAGUCAGAGGUUGCGGGUUUACCCAAUGUCUAGUUAUGCCAUUUUAGUCACCAGAGGCUGCGUUGACAGUUUUGAACGAGUAUCAUACAGAAGACAGAGCCUUGCGUUACAAGUUACAAAAAUGUCCUAGAUAUCUCUACCCACCCAGUACCCACCAUCAACAAUUGGUUUUAAUUUAGAUGCUUCUAUAUGGUAUCAAAGCUAUGAUUUAUCUAACGUCACAUCAAAGCUACGAUUUAUUCAAUCUGUCACACAGACUUGUUCCACGCCAUGAUCAAUACCUCACUCUUAUAUUCUAAGAUUAAGAAUAGAUCUUACUUCUGUGAAACAUUGUUACAGCAAAAAUGUUAAGCAUCAAAUCUCUACUAUUAUAAAGAGAAAACAAGUUU